rnacentral:rRNA from 1 species
GACGAACCGAGCGAACGUUGUUCGGAAUCACUGGGCUUAAAGGGCGCGUAGGCGGGUGCUCAAGUCCGGGGUGAAAUCCUCCAGCUCAACUGGAGAACUGCCUCGGAUACUGGGUGCCUCGAGGGUGGUAGGGGUAUGCGGAACUAUCGGUGGAGCGGUGAAAUGCGUUGAUAUCGAUAGGAACUCCGGUGGCGAAGGCGGCAUACUGGACCACUUCUGACGCUGAGGCGCGAAAGCGUGGGGAGCAAACAGG